rnacentral:rRNA from 1 species
AACGAACGCUGGCGGCAUGCCUAACACAUGCAAGUCGAACGAGACCUUCGGGUCUAGUGGCGCACGGGUGCGUAACGCGUGGGAACCUGCCCUUAGGUUCGGAAUAACUCCCGGAAAGGGGUGCUAAUACCGGAUAAUGUCUUCGGACCAAAGAUUUAUCGCCUUUGGAUGGGCCCGCGUUGGAUUAGCUAGUUGGUAGGGUAAAAGCCUACCAAGGCGACGAUCCAUAGCUGGUCUGAGAGGAUGAUCAGCCACACUGGGACUGAGACACGGCCCAGACUCCUACGGGAGGCAGCAGUGGGGAAUAUUGGACAAUGGGCGAAAGCCUGAUCCAGCAAUGCCGCGUGAGUGAUGAAGGCCUUAGGGUUGUAAAGCUCUUUUACCCGGGAUGAUAAUGACAGUACCGGGAGAAUAAGCUCCGGCUAACUCCGUG